rnacentral:misc_RNA from 1 species
UGAGGGAGGAGGCUCUUGGGUCGUAAACCUCUUUUAUCAGGGAAGAACACAAUGACGGUACCUGAUGAAUCAGCAUCGGCUAACUCCGUGCCAGCAGCCGCGGUAAUACGGAGGAUGCAAGCGUUAUCCGGAAUUAUUGGGCGUAAAGCGUCCGCAGGUGGUUUUGAAAGUUUGCUGUUAAAGCGCGAGGCUCAACUUCGUAACGGCGGUGAAAACUUCAAGACUAGAGUUUGGUAGGGGUCACGGGAAUUCCCAGUGUAGCGGUGAAAUGCGUAGAUAUUGGGAAGAACACCAGCGGCGAAAGCGCGUGACUGGGCCUGAACUGACACUCAUGGACGAAAGCUAGGGGAGCGAAAGGGAUUAGAUACCCCUGUAGUCCUAGCCGUAAACGAUGACAACUAGGUGUUGCCCGUAUCGACCCGGGCAGUGCCGUAGCCAACGCGUUAAGUUGUCCGCCUGGGGAGUACGCACGCAAGUGUGAAACUCAAAGGAAUUGACGGGGGCCCGCACAAGCGGUGGAGUAUGUGGUUUAAUUCGAUGCAACGCGAAGAACCUUACCAAGGCUUGACAUGUGCAGAAUCCUCUUGAAAGGGAGGAGUGCCUUCGGGAGCUGCAACACAGGUGGUGCAUGGCUGUCGUCAGCUCGUGUCGUGAGAUGUUGGGUUAAGUCCCGCAACGAACGCAACCCUCGUUUCUAGUUGCCAUCAUUCAGUUGGGCACUUUAGAGAGACUGCCGGUGACAAACCGGAGGAAGGUGGGGAUGACGUCAAGUCAGCAUGCCCCUUACGCCUUGGGCUACACACGUACUACAAUGCUACGGACAAAGAGCCGCAAGUUCGAGAGGACAAGCAAAUCUCAUAAACCGUGGCUCAGUUCAGAUUGCAGGCUGCAACUCGCCUGCAUGAAGGCGGAAUCGGUAGUAAUCGCAGGUCAGCAUACUGCGGUGAAUACGUUCCCGGGCCUUGUACACACCGCCCGUCACACCAUGGGAGUUGGCCACGCCCGAAGUCGUUACUCCAACCGUUCGCGGAGGAGGAUGCCGAAGGCAGGGCUGAUGACUGGGGUGAAGUCGUAACAAGGUAGCCGUACCGGAAGGUGUGGCUGGAUCACCUCCUUAUAGGGAGACCUACCCGUUUCUUCUUGAAAGUUCAGUUCUUGAGUUCAUCAAUUCACCUCGGUUGAUUUGAUUGGUUAGAGAAUUGAGUUAUUAGAGCAGAGAUUGGUCAUCCCAAGGUCGUUCGAGGAUUAGGUGUUGACUUCUAGACUAUGUAAGAUUGGUUCGGGUUAUGGGCUAUUAGCUCAGGUGGUUAGAGCGCACCCCUGAUAAGGGUGAGGUCCCUGGUUCGAGUCCAGGAUGGCCCACCUUUACUAGAUAAGGGGGUUUAGCUCAGUUGGUAGAGCGCCUGCUUUGCAAGCAGGAUGUCAACGGUUCGAGUCCGUUAACCUCCAUUGAGAGCAGAGAGCUUUCCGAGCCGAAUCGGCUUCAAUUUCAGCAACUCAUAUAAUCCUUAGAGAGCCUGCUGGACUUGUUCCAGACAGAACCAUGAAAACUGCAUAGAAACUUGUCAGGUAGAAAGUAGUAAAUCUUUCACUAGUUGCUCACAAGGUAACGAGCGAGGGAUUUCCACAGAUAUCACAGACACCAAUGUU